UUUGAAAAUAUUUUCUCAUCAAAUGUUAAAAAUGGAUUGAUGAACUAAGUGACAGUGAAAUAACAAAACAGUGAAGCAACAAGUCCUCAAAGUCUUUCAAAUCUUAACAUCAAACUAUCUUGAUAAAAGCCUGGCCUGUCAAAAAGAAGGAAAAAAUCUCUCUGAAAGUACAAAGAAAAUAUUUAUAAAGAAUUAAGCUACUGAGCUCAACAAAAACAGCACACCAUGCAAUAAGAAUGAAAGUACUUUGCCUCUCACUCAGGCUGUGCAGCUUUCCGGUUCACUGGCAGAGCUCAAAGACCACUACUUUUCACCUGCACUGCAUUUAGUCUUUAUUUUUGGUGCAGAUUUGUAACAAUGAGACCAGAAGAAGAAAAAAAUCCCCUUCAACCCCUAAUCUAUUUUUCCAUCAUCACCUAUUCAGAAAGUACAAGUAUAAAAAUAUGCAAUGGUGGAAAAACCCAUCACACAAUAAAAAACAACCCACAGGACAAACUCAUCUGUGAAGUAACUAACCACAGUGCUCUUCAAACUCCCACUGCUGGCUUCUGCCCUUUUCAGCCCUUCUCCACAGCUUUUUCUUAAGUCAAAAGGUGAUUCUGAUUCUCUUACCCUACAAUGAUGACUGUCUCGCUCUCUGCACUGCUCAGCUAAGCCAUCGUCAUCACGAGACCAAAAACUCCAGGUGCAAACUUCUGAUGGAGUCAGCAGUGAAUGCAAGAGAAAGGGAAUGAGCUCACUUCUCAUUUCGGACAACAGAGUUUAUCUCAUAUGUCUCAACCAGAGAAAAACAUCCAUGGAAAAAAGAAAGAAAACAGAGGCAGAGUGUUUGAAGCAGCAUCCUCGUGCUCUCGAGCCAUCGUUUCAUUGCCUACAACUUCAAGUUCACCAACUUCAGGAACAGGCAAGGAGAAAUGAACUCAUGUUCACUUACUGCACGGAACUCUGCAGUAAAAUACAUAUGCAGAAACUUACCCAUUCUCUUGUAAAACUGAAUGCUUUCCAAGCCAAACACAGCAACAGAUCAAACUCAGAACACAUCAAACAGUUAGUGCUAAUAUUUAUAUCAGUGUUGAUAAUGACUUCAGAAUAGAAGAAUUCAGCUCCUUUCCAUCCUGAAUUUUGUGUUGGCUUAAAAACCAUAUACAUAAAUUAGGUACAGCAAGGGAAAAUACCAAGUUUUGUUUGCUCCCACAACACAGCACUGGUAUUUCCAUUGGUGUUCUUGAAUCUUAGUAAUUAUUUUCUAAAAACAAUCAGCCAAAAACUAUGUUUCUCAGUAAAUGUGCUCAUGUUUUACUGCUUUAAACAUUAAGGUUUCUUUCAAAUCAAUGUCUCACAGCUCCAUCUUUAAUCUCAUCUGUAAGCAGAUAAAUAUUUCAGAUUUUAUGUACUCUGACUCAAACUUUAUUUAAGAAAAAGAAUGAUGAACAUAAAGCAAAUCUGACCAUAUUUGCUGGAAGAGUCCAUGCAUAAAGUUCCUUUACACUCUCUAUAGCACACAAGUCACUGCUUUUAAUUGCUGUACUUGAGGCUGUAAUUCAAUACCUGCUUAUCAGCUCCACAGCUGUACUGCUUAGCAGCUUGGGUUAGAAGUGAAUCAAACUGUAUUCAACAACUCAUACCUACAAGCCAGAAAACACCCAGAAUAUAUAUAUGUGCAGAACAAUGCAGUGAACUCUGUCCCAAGAGUGACUCAUUACAUUGAAUAUCUAUCCUAAAAGUCAGCAAAAACUUUGUUAUAGCUAGACAUUUAUAACAAUACAGAGUGAUUAUUAGAGAUCUGCUAUAACAGUCAGAAGCUUGAAGGGUCUGGGGGGGAGAGUUAGAUUUGGUUUGUUCUUUCUGGUUUUUUGGGUUUUUUUUGGUUUUUUUUUUUUUUGAGGGUUUGUUGUUGUUGUUUUGGGUUUUUUUGGGGUUUUUUUUGGUUUUUUUUUUAAUUAGUGUGUAACUAUAAUGCAGGCACUUGCCCUACAUUGCUGCUGUUUCUGGAUUUCUCUUUUAAAGUUACAGAUGCAAAACUAUCCUGGAAAACCUAAAGUUCUUUUGAAACCUCAAAGUUCUUUUGAAAAGUAGUUUCAUCCAAAUAGAAUCAUACCAAAUAAAGCCAUAAAAUCAGAGUCUGCUCUAAGUACACUUUAAUGAGCCCUUAGAUUAACUGAGUUUGCCAUGAAUUUUAAACACACAAAUAAAUUCUGUGUACGUUUUGGAUUUUCUGGCAUCCCCAUCGCACAGUCUUGCCUAUUACCCAUAAGGGAGUUCUGCCACAUUAAUGGAAUUAACAUGCUGCUUUUCUUUUGCUAGCAUGAGUUUUUAAAUUAUUUUAAAGGUUCUUGUAUCUCAGUUCUGCUUUCCAUGUUGAAGCUGGUAUAGAUACACCAGCAGCAAUGGCUCACUGUAGAGGACAUGCACGAUUUCAGCGUUGGCUCAGAAGAAUGAAAUGCUUGGGAUAUAGAAGUUCUUCAUUUGACAACCACCAAAAUAAGUAACGCUGAAAGAAAUAUUUAUCAACUCAGCUAUAACUAUUUCCCUUUCAUACUGGACAGUGCUGGACUACAGACAGAAUGUUAAUGACGUUUCAUUCUUUUUAUAUGCCUAAUUUAAUUGAUUAAAAUCACAUCAAAUAUACAUGUGUGGGACUUGUCAAGUCCCACCUGCUCCAGUACAGUAAGGAAAUCUGUUGCAUGUGUUAACCUUCCCAGCAGAACAGUACAUCCUACUCUCUCUGCAAGCUAAAGAUCUAUAUUUCUUUCAAAAAUUAUGAUUUAGAUUCUUCUUAUGUAGCUGAUUCCUCAAGGUAAAGAAACUGCAGUCUCAAGGGUUCUGAAGCAUGGCUGAAUUUUCUGACAUUUGUAGUAGUAUCUUUCUUUCUUUUUUGCCCCCCCUUUCUGCAUUUCUCCCAUUCCCACCCAGGACAAGUCUACUUUUUUUUAGCUUCUUGAGAUUCCACAACAAAGUAACAUUUCUCAGCAUCUACUUUGUGCUCUCUGCUUUGUCCAAAUAAACUUCUAAUAAACUGUCUUCACUAUUAUGCAACAGCAGAAGUUCUCUAUGACACGGAAAGUAAUAAUGCGGUGGAUGUUGCCCUUAAAAGAUUUUAUCAGUGAUGCAGUUUCCUAGUACAAAACUGCUUCACACAUCUGGGGGAGAAGAGGGGGAGGGUGGGGUGCAAGGGGAGAUAAACUGCCUGAGGUAAGCACCAAACCUUGCCUCAUCUCCCGAGGGCGAUGAAUCACGCACCCUGCUCAGAAUAAACACGUCCUCAUGGAAGGGGACUGCUGGAUGGAUUACAUGGAAAACACCCUAAUGGGAGGAUUUUGUUUGUCUGUAGAUGCCACUCCAGCGCAUAAAGAGAAAAGAGAAAUUCAGUUGCUGUCCCAAUAUAUCUUAGGCCGUCUCACUAAAAGCAGGUUCAUUUUUCCCCCUUUGUAAUCUAGUUUCUAAAGUAUUCAGAUUACCAUUUAACUUUGCACUGUGAGCAUCUCAUUGCUCUCCAAGGUAUAGCUAAUAGCCAGUUGCUACCUAGGAAUGAGUAUUUUGCACUAUAAUCCUCUUACUUCACUUUUGGAUGACUUAAGGAAAAAGAUAUGCCAGUGGAAAGGGAAGGGAGGAGGGAAAACAAAAAUUAGAGUGAAGAGCCAAGACAGAAACAGGGUCAGUGGCAGGAAAUGGAGCGGGGUGGGGAUGGCUGAGCCCGUGACAGCAGAGAAUGGUUAACUGGCUGGAGCUGAGAAAGCAUCAUGAAAAGGAGACAGGGCAGCAUAAAUCAAUGAGCAUACUGCACUUCAGGUCAUGGAGAAAGACUUUCUAGUGCUAUUAAAACAGUGUAUUUUAAAUAUGUGAAAAUUACACUCGGAUUGAAUAAAAAUAUUGCAAAAAAUUAACCAAGUACUGAUCUACAAGGCAUCACAGCUCUUACCUCUCAUCUGCUCAAGGUCCAGAGGUCUCUCAGGUGAGACUGCAUAACUUAUAGACAGCUCUAAGCAAGUCUAAUGGUUUUCUUAUGCUAGCAAGUCAACUGAAAAGCACAAUAGGUAAAGACUCCACAAGACUCUCUUUCAAGGCUCCUUGAACCUUCAUAGAGCAAAGGCAUGUUUAUGGACUGCACCUGUACUCCACAAAACACAUGAAUUUUUAAAAGGUUUGUGAUAGUUUUUUAUUACACUGUGUUGAUCAUAUUCUGUAAAAUUAAAAAAAAAAACCAAACUGUG